UGCAGAAAGGUCUAUGAAAACACACAACUC
rnacentral:piRNA from 1 species